rnacentral:tRNA from 2 species
GGACUUGUAGUGUAAUGGAUAUCACGUCGGAUUCCGGUUCCGGAGAUGAGGGUUCGAUUCCCUCCAAGUUCAUCA